rnacentral:rRNA from 1 species
CAGUCGCCGCGGGAAUACGGAGGGUGCAAGCGUUAAUCGGAAUUACUGGGCGUAAAGCGCACGCAGGCGGUCUGUCAAGUCGGAUGUGAAAUCCCCGGGCUCAACCUGGGAACUGCAUUCGAAACUGGCAGGCUAGAGUCUUGUAGAGGGGGGUAGAAUUCCAGGUGUAGCGGUGAAAUGCGUAGAGAUCUGGAGGAAUACCGGUGGCGAAGGCGGCCCCCUGGACAAAGACUGACGCUCAGGUGCGAAAGCGUGGGGAGCAAACAUGAUUAGAUACCCCGGUAGUCCCUGUCUCUUAUAC